UUACUCUUACAGUUAUUGGAGAUGACAUGAUAAAUAGCCUGUCAAUGUUCGGUGUUCUUAAGUACCUACACAAAACAUGUAUCAAAAUGAAGGAACAGACUCAUGAACGAUAGUUUUUACAUGUCCAAAUCUGUCCGGUUUGUGUUUUUUGAAUAAAGGUUAUUGCACAUUGAGUUCGAAAUUUGCGUCCGAAAUUUCCGCACAUUAAAAAUACAUACGACCUUACACUCUAAAAAAUGCUGCGUUAUUUGUUUAACCCAACAGCUGGGUUGAGCCUGUUGGGUCAUUUUGUUGGGUUAUUUUCUUAGUGUUGGGUCAUUUUUUGAGUAACCCAAACGCUGGGUUAGCAGUCGGGUCCAAUUGAGUGACAGUUGAGAGAGUAAACCCCUCCCACUCCUCGACGCAUCAGACAAACUUUACCUUCGCGGGCAUUUUGAUCCACCUCAUCUCGAAAAGUUGUUAUUCGGAGAAGAAAAGCGUGCAGAUAACAGCUAAUAUUAAUGGAUCAUUCUAUUCAAGAGAAAGUCAACUGGAACGUGGAUGUUUUCAUAACAGGCUUAAAGAUGAACAAAUUGAUAAAGAAACCCUCCUGCUGAACAUCCACUUCCAAAAGUGCACGCCACACUGUUGUCUACAACUCCCAGGAUAAGAAUCCUCUUUAGGAAGACUGCUCCGUGGAUAUGUCAGGUUAAGCAGUGCUGAAACCGAAAGAACUAACGCUCUUUAAAAUGUUUUGUGAGUUUAUAUGAAGAGGAAAGUUACGGUGUCCCUUUUUCACAUCCAUAACGCUUCUUUAUUUCUUUUUUUAUAGAAAACUUGUGCAUAGACUGAUAUUUUAUCAUAUAAAUGCGGUUCUAUCAACAAGGGUUUAGUAAAAUACUUUUUAUAGUGUUUUUAUGUCGCAUCCAUAACGCUGGAAUUGCCCUAAAGCAUUUUACUCAUGCCACUUUGUUAACUGUAUAUGAAUUUUUGAAGUGUUAAGUUGUCUAACUAUUUAUAUUUACUUGUGCCACUUUAAUAACCUUGUUAAAUGUAAAUGUAAAAAUCUAAACUAAUGUAAUUUAUUGAAGUUAAUUUUCCUUAAAUAUGUAUAAACAUACAUUUCAUCAAAGUGUUUUAUAUGCCAUUUUAUUGUUCAUUGAGCAUAACAUAUUGCAUGUUUUUAUGAUUUCCUUUUGUCUUGCA